rnacentral:lncRNA from 1 species
CCUAGAUUCUUUUCAUUUCCACUCCUAUUUCAUUUGAAACUCUCUCUAAGCUCCUUCCCUUCUAAAAUCAUCCCCUUGAAGCCUUGAAUCUCACUUCCUUUUGAUCGAUUUGGUCUUUAAUGGCUCCACGGAAGCAACUCACCCAAAUGAUGAAGCAAACACAAACCCUUGAGUGGAUGGAACGACAUUCCAAGGCAAGAUCUGACCCUCAACCUCCACCUUAUGAAGAAAUAGUACCUAUUCUUCCUCAACCCUAUCAGAGUAAGGUUCCCCUCUCCUCUUGAAUUAUCACAAUCGGGGGUAACAUUGACUUCAAGUUUUUGGAGUAGGAAGGAUUUUCAAUUGAGAGAAAGUUGAAGAAACUUAGGUGGAAAUUCGUCUGCUCUUUGAAUGUACCCACCUACCCCAACGUGUUGAGAGAAUUCUAUGGUCAUGUGAAGUUCAGGGUAGGGAGUUUAGAAUCCAUGGUGAAGGGUGUCCUCAUUUUGCUCAAUGUGUUUAGCUUAGGUAGAUUAUUGUAGAUGCUAACUGGUGGCUCCUCAACGGACAGAUUAGAUGAGCAAAGGAUCAGCCUCCAAUAUAUUUUAGGAUGUGAGGAUGUCAGUGAGCUGGAGGAGGUAAGCACUAACUAGUUAUCAGUUGAGAUGAGACUCUUUCAUUCAUAUGAUUAGAUGGAUUUUUUUCCUAAGAAAGAGGUUUGAUUUUGUGUUCGAAAGCGACAUUGUCAUGAUGUUUCAUAUAGUUAGGGAGUAUCCCCUGAAUAUGCUUGCACUAAUGUUCUGACAGAUGCACGAGGCAGCAAGUAGGUCAAAGGUUUCACUAUCCUAUGGUAUUGAUCUUGACUUUAGUGUUCAGGGAACACAGAAUUGAGCUGGAGGGGGAGACUUCAAGGACAUUGAUGCACGCAAACACCUACAAUGACCGCUCACUGUAUUGGAUGGGAAAUAACAAGGUUGAUAGUUAUUGGGUAAGAAGAGGUGCUAGUAGAUAGCAUGAGCCUGGAGGCAAUGAUGUGCAUGCACAACUAGAGAUUGCACCCAGUGAGCUAGCAGUUCCUACUGAUCAGAGUACUAAACCACCUACCUCCAUGGGGAUUCCAAAGCAGACAACAGAGCUAGAGCUUCUAUUUGAUUAUGGAGAAGGAGAAUUUGCUGCAUCUUUUGACAUCAAGUCUCAGCCAUAGUAUCUAGAGAACAACCUUGAUAAGACGAUUAGACUGGAUGAA